GACGAACGCUGGCGGCGUGCUUAACACAUGCAAGUCGAACGGAAAGGCCCUGCUUUUGUGGGGUGCUCGAGUGGCGAACGGGUGAGUAACACGUGAGUAACCUGCCCUUGACUUUGGGAUAACUUCAGGAAACUGGGGCUAAUACCGGAUAGGAGCUCCUGCUGCAUGGUGGGGGUUGGAAAGUUUCGGCGGUUGUGGAUGGACUCGCGGCUUAUCAGCUUGUUGGUGGGGUAGUGGCUUACCAAGGCUUUGACGGGUAGCCGGCCUGAGAGGGUGACCGGCCACAUUGGGACUGAGAGACGGACCAGACGCCUACGGGAGGCAGCAGUGGGGAAUAUUGCACAAUGGGCGGAAGCCUGAUGCAGCAACGCCGCGUGCGGGAUGACGGCCUUCGGGUUGUAAACCGCUUUCGCCUGUGACGAAGCGUGAGUGACGGUAAUGGGUAAAGAAGCACCGGCUAACUACGUG
rnacentral:rRNA from 1 species